rnacentral:rRNA from 1 species
UACGUAGGGAGCAAGCGUUGUCCGGAAUCAUUGGGCGUAAAGCGUGCGUAGGCGGCCCCGUAAGUCCGCUGUGAAAGUCAAAGGCUCAACCUUUGAAAGCCGGUGGAUACUGUGGGGCUAGAGUCCGGAAGAGGCGAGUGGAAUUCCUGGUGUAGCGGUGGAAUGCGCAGAUAUCAGGAGGAACACCAAUAGCGAAGGCAGCUCGCUGGGACGGUACUGACGCUAAGGCGCGAAAGCGUGGGGAGCGAACCGG